UACGGAGGGAGCUAGCGUUGUUCGGAAUUACUGGGCGUAAAGCGCACGUAGGCGGCUUUGUAAGUUAGAGGUGAAAGCCCGGGGCUCAACUCCGGAACUGCCUUUAAGACUGCAUCGCUUGAAUCCAGGAGAGGUGAGUGGAAUUCCGAGUGUAGAGGUGAAAUUCGUAGAUAUUCGGAAGAACACCGAUGGCGAAGGCAGCCUUCUGGGCCAACACUGACGCUCA
rnacentral:rRNA from 1 species